UGCAGAUAGAUCAUAUACGAGCAGAGAGGCUUAUACAUUGUCUGUUUGUUUGUGUGAUUAUCUGCGAGCACGCUAGUGUGCAGGGAAGCAGCUUAUUUUAGUUCUGUUAGUACAGUAGAUGGAUAGCAGGCUGCGGGAGCGGAGAGGGCAGCUGUGGUGUUGUGGCUGCAGCAUGCUGUCCCAUUAGCACACCCCUGGGGAGGGACAGACCUAGAGGACAAGGAGACGAGCCUGGAUUAGCUCAUAAAUCACAGCCCGGGGGACCUACGAGAGGCUGUGACAUCAUCAUUUAGAGACAGAGUGAUACAUUGCACCAGCGUUCGCACGGCGGCACAGUCAUUAGGCAAAAGUGGCGGUAAUAUCACAGGCCUGGAAUGUCGGCCCACGUUUUUGGAGCUGCAUGAAAAUGUUUUGGACCACGGCUCCGAAUCUUGCCCGCCACACGUCAUCAAAGCCUUUAAUGUUGGCUGGCUUAGGCGUGCACACUGUAGCAGAUUUCUGGAUCAGUAUUUGAGCACAAUCUGUUGAAUAGCUGAGAGGCGCGAGUGAACGGGGGAGGCGGAGGAGUAAAAUUGAGUGUAAACAGA
ensembl:lncRNA